GGCGGAGGGGUGAGUAAUGCUUGGGAACAUGCCUUGAGGUGGGGGACACCACUUGGAAACAACAGCGAAUACCCCACAAAGUCUACAGAGCAAAGGGGGCUUCUGCUCUCGCCUUUAUAUUGGCCCCCGUGGGAUUAUCUCUUUGGUGAGGUAAUGGCUCACCAAGGCGACAAUACCUAUCUGGUUUGAGAGGAUGAUCACCCACACUGGGACUGAGACACGGCCCCCACUCCCACAGGAGGCGGCACUGGGGAAUAUUGCGCAAUGGGCGCAAGCCUGAUGCACCCCUGCCCCGUGUGUGAAAAAAGCCUUCUGGUUGUAAAGCACUUUCUCUCACGAGGAAAGGUUAUUAUUUAAUACCUGCUAUCUGUGACGUUACUGACACAAAAAACACCGGCUAACUCCCUGCCACCACCCCCGGUAAUACAGAGGGUGCGAGCGUUAAUCUCAAUUACUGGGCGUAAAGCGUACACACGCGGUUUGUUAAACGAGAUGUGAAAGCCCCGGGCUCAACCUGUGAACUGCGUUUCUAACUGUGAAACUAUAGUGUGAUAUAGAGUGGGAUAAAUUUACGUGU
rnacentral:rRNA from 1 species